AGCCUACGGGGGGCAGCAGUGGGGGAUAUUGGACAAUGGGGGAAACCCUGAUCCAGCGAUGCCGCGUGAGGGAAGAAGGUUUUCGGAUUGUAAACCUCUGUGGAGGGGGACGAUAAUGACGGUACCCCUUUAAGAAGCCCCGGCUAACUACGUGCCAGCAGCCGCGGUAAUACGUAGGGGGAAAGCGUUAUCCGGAUUUACUGGGUGUAAAGGGAGCGUAGGCGGCAAGGAAAGCCAGAAGUGAAAGCCCGCGGCUCAACUGCGGGACUGCUUUUGGACAUAUCUAGCUAGAUUGCAGGAGAGGG
rnacentral:rRNA from 1 species